CCAGAGAAGAAGAUUUGGAAACAAAAUCAGAGCAACUUAAAAAGAGUAACCUCAUCAUAAUUGCUACACCGUACAUUUUCUUUGUGUGUUCCUGAUGGUAAAUAAAGACAAUGACAUAUCUCCAAGAGGCAGUUUGGCAUAGUGAUACAGACUGUAGAGUGAGACUGCCUGGUUUUUAAUCCCAGCUCCGUCACUUCCUGACUAUAUAACCUCAGGUUUAACUCAGGACUACCUUAACAUUCCACUAUUUGUAUUUAUUCAUUUGCAUAUCUCCAGGGGAAAAAAUGAUUGAAGUGGUACAUGACUGUCUAGAGAAGAGAAGUUCUGAUCAAUCCUCCAGUUUGGACAGUAACAAUAGCUUGGAUAUUUUAAAGAACCAUGUUCUAAAUGAGCUGAUACAGACUGAGAAGGUUUACGUUCGCGAACUAUUUACUGUUUUGUUG